rnacentral:lncRNA from 1 species
UACAUCAAGAACCAUCCUUGGAAGGCAGUGGCUACAAACCAAAGGAGGACAGAUAAGCAGGCUGCCCUGGACACAAGGCAAAGGUUGUCAGCAGCAGUCAUGCAGCAGUAAGUGAUGGAGGCCUGAGAAGUGACCUGUUACCAUCUAAUCUCAGCAGUCACCAUUUGCCUCUCCACUGUCCCCUCCACGCCUCUGGUGAUGGCUUAGUGACUCUCCUUGCCCAGCAGUUCUGCUCCUAGAAUUGCCAGGAACACGUCACCUCCUUAGCAGGUGCUCGGAACAUAUUUGGAAGAUGAGUCCCCUCGUAUCAGUGCACAUUCCUCAGCAAAAAGUCACAGGCUGCAAAACUUCAAAAAAAAAAAAAAAGCAGGAAAACGGUGUAUGUGCUUCAGAGAGCCACCCACUGUGCCAAGCACGGCGACGUAAGCCGUCUCAUUUGAACCUCCUCACAACAGGAUGGGGUAAGUCUUUAUGGCUGACCUUCUUUCAUAGCUAAGGAAUCUGAGCUUCCAAAAGGGUAAACUACCUUCACAAAGGCCGCACAGCCAGUUGGUGCCAGAGUCGGGUUCAAAGCUGGGUCUGUGCCUGCGUGGGAUAAGAGGGGAGGUGGAAUGUUGGAGAUGCAGCUCGGUUGGCAGAAUGCUUGCCUAGUGUACACAGAAUCCCAAACUUGGUCCCCAGAACUGCAUAAUCUGGGCACAGUGCCCCAUGCCUGUGCCCUAGCACUCAGCGAGUUGAGGAAGGAAGACCAGAAGGUACAGGGUCAUUCUCGGCCAUAUUUGCGGUUUGCGGCCAGCCUGGGAGACCCAGACUUGGGCUAGUGAAGAACUGUGGAUAUGAACUGCAGGAUUGCUGUAAGGAACAGCUGACACCCUGAACUCUGCACGGAGAACGCUGUAGUGAGAGAACUGUCGGGGAGAGAGGAACAUGGUACCAAAGUAGGAAUGGGUGAGGCUCUGUGUGCCCACAGGACAUGUCCUUUCAUGGGUUGUGGGUCAGGUUCAGCCACAGUGUGAUUGCUCAGCUGAUGUGUGUAUGCUAAAGGGCAGGGUCCAUGCAUUAGGAGUGGCUGGGCUGGGCUGGUGUGGUGUGCUGUGUUUCCCGUGGGGAUGGCGGUGAUUCAUUACCCUUCCCAGCCCGCUCAGCUUCUAUCAGGGUUCAACUUGUAGUAAACAAGUCAGAAAAUGCCAUCUGGGUGAGAAAGAGACGGGGGGGGGGGGGGGGGCGGGGAGCUUCCGAGGUGACCCUCAGUGUCCUGUCAGCCCCAAAUCUUCCUGGAAACUACACACUGGAUCCACAGAGCUCAGAAUCUCUCUCACCAAUGGCAGAAAACCCUUCUUCACCCAAUUUCCGAUCUUUUUUUUUUUUUCUGGAAUGUUCUAGAAACUCUACUCUCCUGGGAUGAUUCUGAGAUAUAACCACUCCAGCUUGCGCUGGGGGUGGGAGUGGGGGUGGGUGUUCUGCUGCCCAGAGGAUAUCUGUUGGGGUGCUUCUGGGAGGUGUGCAUCAAUAAAUCAACCUGUGCAUGCUAUUAAUCAACAGUUUCCCUGAAGUCUGGCCAGCGAAAUUCAGGCUUGUUGUCUAAGUGAGUAGGUCUGACGUUCUCGGAGCAGAGAACACAGGAGACACAGUUCAGCCCGCAAGAUGAAUAAAACCACAAUCACAACAAG